GACGAACGCUGGCGGCGUGCUUAACACAUGCAAGUCGAGCGGUAAGGCCCUUUCGGGGGUACACGAGCGGCGAACGGGUGAGUAACACGUGGGUGACCUGCCCUCAGCUCUGGGAUAAGCCUGGGAAACCGGGUCUAAUACUGGAUAUGACCCCAUGACGCAUGUUGUGGGGUGGAAAGCCUUGUGCGGCUGAGGAUGGGCCCGCGGCCUAUCAGCUUGUUGGUGGGGUGAUGGCCUACCAAGGCGACGACGGGUAGCCGGCCUGAGAGGGCGACCGGCCACACUGGGACUGAGACACGGCCCAGACUCCUACGGGAGGCAGCAGUGGGGAAUCUUGCGCAAUGGGCGAAAGCCUGACGCAGCGACGCCGCGUGAGGGAUGACGGCCUGGU
rnacentral:rRNA from 1 species